rnacentral:lncRNA from 1 species
UCCAUUUUCUGCAAUCAGGAUAAUGCAGUGCAUUUCAGAGCCAUUUUCAUUUUUGAAGUGCUCUUUCAUCAUUAGCUAAUAAAUGCUCAUCAAUGAAUUUUCCCUCUGCGUCUUGAAAUUUGGAGGAGAAAGAAAAUCGCUUUCUAUUUCGCCCUCCAUCCCCUCCAAUCCUGGCAUCCACCGUCAUUCUGCUUUCAGCUUCUGAGUUCAUCAAGUGACUGUCAACUCGAGUAACACUGAGAUCUGGACAGGCAACAUGAUUCCAGAGAACAGCCUUUCUUUGACCCCUUCAUCCCCCCGAGAACUCAUGCUUGGCUUCCCAGUCCUCUGUCUCCGGUGAAAAACAUGGAGGAUUUGAACAGCAUGUUGCAUUGUUGACUGUCACUGUGUGCCUUGUCUCCAACCAAGGCGAUGAUUUGAGAUGGGGCCAGCCUUCAUCAGCGUCCUCCUCUUUCUAAACCUCAUUCCUUACGCCGAAUACCCUAGAAAAGUAGGGUAACAAAUUUGGCACUUCGGCUGGACUAGGAGGCAAAGGACAAUGGCAGCCCUGGCUUGACCGUCUGAUUUGGAUUUCAAGGGUGUUUGUUCUGAAAUUCCAACAAAAUGACUAAUUUGACUAGACCUGUGGUGAUGUGAGUAUAUGACAGAGAAUUUUGCGGGGGGUGGCAGGGGGAGGAUAAGCUUGCUCCUGACAAAACAGUUUCGUCUUUGGGUUCUGAAAACCCUGGUUGGGAAGGUAGAAGCACCAGUGUUCACUUUGGGGUCAGCGAGUCCUUGCUCAGUACGCUAGGAGAAUUCAUUUGCCUUGAGUGUUUUUCCUUUCAAGUCACGUUUUACUGCUGGAGUUACUCAGCGAAUUAAUAGGUAUAGAAAUGCAAAGCUCUUUUCUUAUUACAUUCUAUCGAUCCGAUUGCAGUGUCAUUAAUUGAAAGACUAGGAAAAUGUGAUGGAUAGUUCUGCUCAAGAUUCUUCAUUCGUUUUGGCCCAGAUCUGUUGGAAGAAACGCUGCAGGAAACUGACUGAAAGAAGCCUUUUGGUCUGACGUGAAUUAUUCUUGCUUGGUCAGUCCUUGUGAGAGCGAGCGAGCAUUUGGUCCUAGUGAGAUUUGCCAUGUGAAAUUAUAAACUGAUUCUACUCUCAGAGGAAAAUCAAAACUCAAGAUGCUUAUUUGCAGAGUUGGAAAGAAUCCGUUUUGUACCUCUCUUUUAUAGAUUACAUAUAUAUGAUGGUACAAAAAAACAAAACAAAAAAACAAAAACAAAAAAUAUCCCCCAGUUUUGAUAGAAACAAAUUUUGACUCUAAGGAAGUGGGCAUUUUGCUCUGUGUUUUAAAUAAUUUCAUUUGGAAUAUUGUGCUUGUGAAGUGUUACUUUCCUUCAUCACCGUCACGCCUGUCUCAUUCUAGUGGGGUGUGAGACUCCAGAGAGUGGUAUGUGGUUAGAAAUUAUUUUUUUAGGGCGGUUUUCUUUUUGGAUUGUUUGACCUACAAUCCCUUGAAUUAGCCCCCUGAAUUUAAAUCAGCUUGAGAAUUUUGCAUGUGUACAACAGAUAGGUCCACAUCCAUAUUUAAAAAGUAUAUCUAAGAUGGAAGACUUAAAAGGAAUCUUUUAAAAUAUCUUAAUCCUGUCUGUGAAUGAGAAAUUCCCAGGCUCAAACAAAAACAUAUCAGAUGAUGUCUAGUUUGUUUGCAAAGGCUGAGCUUGUCUCCUUGCUUUCUGCUUCUGCUUCAGUGAGCUGGGCUAUUUUUCUGUUGUGUUUAUUAUUUUAAAUGUUUGAACUUUGACGUGAAUGGGAGGAAUACUCAAAAUCAAAGCACAUUGACAUGACAGAAAACAUCACUCAUCUCUUGUUUUUAAUAAACGUUGUUGUUUGGAGAAGUUUAGGACAUGUUACUAAUAAUACAUGUCCUGCCAAAUAUAUUUUUUUAAUCCCUCGUCUUUAGUAUUUGAAUGGUCUUUCUCAAGGUGUAAUUUCUUCUCCUGGUUGUGCUUUUGGAUGGCAGGAUAAGUCAUCUGCAGAAAGAUAGGAAGUGAGCAAGUUGCCACGUGGCAUGACCUCAUUUUGGAACACAUCUUGAAAACAUGUUUAAUGCUUUCUGUGCACAGAGACAAUGGAUGAUGGUGUGGGGUCCUCGUAACUGACCUUUAGCUUGGUGAGAAACGUGGGCUGCUUCCUCUGAUCAUCAGCUCCUCUCUGAGUGAAAAAGAGGCGGCUCCCACCUUAGGAAGUAAAUCUUGCUGCUGAGAGCACAGGCUGCCUUACCCCUGGUAUUAUGUCUAAAAAUACAUCCUCAGAGAGGCAGGCAUAUGCUCGCGCAUCAGUGUGAAGGAGCUCUCGCCUUGUUCCUUGUACACCCAUCUAGAUGCUGGAGUGAGGAAUUAAAUUAUCCCAGAAGCCCUGCCAGGUUUUGAUUUGCCAUUGUCUCUGCUUCUUCGCUGCCUGUGAACAGGACCCUUGAUGCAGGGCUUUCAGAGACCAGCCGAUGCUGAUGGGGUCCGUGACUUGCCGGCAGAGCCUGCUCCUUCGGUUGUGUUUGUCUGAGCCAUGCUUUUCUCGCUUUUUGGGGAGGCAGAGAGCCCUGGGCAGAGGUUGCACUUGGCAUAUUUCAGCUCCGUUGUCACUGCUGUGGCUGUUACUCCCCUCGGCGAGAGCCAAGGAGCAACCAGGACGGUGGGUCACCUCGCCAGCUAUUUAGCACCGUUUCCCUUCUCGCUCUAAACACGGUUAGGAUGUUUUCUGUCUUAAGUGACAGGGCUUUUGGGGUGGGGGUGGGGGGUUUCUGAGCCUCCCUUUUUAAUUCCUGCUGUAUCUGGAUAAGGACCUGCUUUCUCCUGAUUUCCAGCACCGUGUCUCAUUCUGAAAGCUUGUUAGAUUCUCCAUCCUUGUUGCUGCAACUCAGUUUUUUAGGGUCUGUUGUUGGGGUUUUCUCUUUGAGUGUUAUCACCAAAUUUCUCAGCUUCCGUAGUUACCUCACAGGUUAAAAUAAAAGGGGUAAAAUGAUUGUGGGUGUCAUUUUGUCCAGGAAGAAAGAAAACAGAAAUUGCUCUGGAGAGAGGUAGUCCUAAGCAGAGGAAUAAAAAGCAGAGGGAAGGUGUUGCUGUUGUGUAGCCCUGCCACAGCUUGGCUGCAGAAUCAUGUGUUCAGGUGAGACUUUGUCUUAUUUGCAGAAGUAGGAAAAAAUAGUCCCCUUCAGGAUAUCGCCCAUAUCUUACUUGGAAAUAAUUUCAAUUCCAACAAGUGCUGAGAAAAGAAAUGUAGCUUUUUAUGCGUCAGAAAAGCAGGGCAAAAUGACAGUAUCCGAAACAAAGGACACCAUUCCCUUUGCAGUUGGUCGUAUUCAAAAGUGAGUAAGAUCAGCUGUUACUUAUACCUCCUCCUUUCUUCGUAACGCUGUUUUGAUGGCCUUGAAAACUGAAAGGCAAAGCAUUUCUUUUCAAAAGGGUUGAUUUUUUGAGGUUUCUGCAAAACGAGAUAAAAGAAUUCUUUAUAUUCUUUAUAUCAUUUCAGAUGGUUAGCAGAAUACAUCCCAUGCUAGUUAUAAUAGAUACAUCCAAUGUAAGCUGGUAUUCACAACCUGUGCAAUUAAAACACACACACACUCCAAAAGAAACUCACCCAGUGUUGAACAAAAUCCAGACUUGAAUUUAAACCAAAAUAAUUUUACCUAUUGUGGAGAAGAAUUAGUCUUGUUAUAUGCUUUUCUAUGACUGAAUAUUUCCCUCUUUUCAUCAUUACUUUAUUAGUUUUUUUCAUAAAAGCCGCUAAAAUGGACAAAGAACUCUACCACAUAGUUAAAUUUUAGUGGCAGUUAAUUGAAAUGGAGCAUGGAUCAAAUGUCAUCAACUCUUGUCACCAGGUAUUUCCUUUAGGUUCAGCUUAAUACAUUUUAUUCCCAUUGGUGCCAAAGAAACAUCUAUGCCUUUAGACACUGGUACCUAAUUAUGCAGCUGGAUACAUUAAUAGCCUAUAAUAUUACAUAGACUUGAGAUUUAAACAGGAAAAGGUGCUGUUCUUUGUAGCCAGCAAGUUGUGUGAUCCUGAUGCUGUGGGUAUUUGCUGGUAUUUCUACCUUUGUUCCUUCAGAAGCAGUGAGGUUCUCAGUCAUUGCUGACUAACUGAUAGUUGUAGUAACUGCUGUAGGCUCCUUAAAUUAGAAAUGCAUGCAGACAUGGGUCUUUAUUCAGACACUAAGGAAUGCACUCUCACUUACUUCCACGGACAGAAAGCCUUCAUGCUAAGAGGUGCGGUGGAAGCUGCAGGCCAGAAAGCAGAAGAGAGAGAGAGAGAGAUGGCUGGCUGGUAGCAAGUAUACCCCUGCAAACAUUUCUAAAAUGCGUGUGCAAAUGCAGAAGCCUUCAGAACCAUCCAACAAUUCAGACACCUUUUUUAUUUCUUCUCUGCGGGAUGCCUCCAUCCAGGCUAUUUGAAAAAUAAAAAAAAAAAAAAA